rnacentral:rRNA from 1 species
GACGUAGGGCGCGAGCGUUGUCCGGAUUUAUUGGGCGUAAAGAGCUCGUAGGCGGCUCGUUGCGUCGGCUGUGAAAACCCGCAGCUCAACUGUGGGCUUGCAGCUGAUACGGGCGGGCUGGGAUUCGGUAGGGGAGACUGGAAUUCCUGGUGUAGCGGUGAAAUGCGCAGAUAUCAGGAGGAACACCGGUGGCGAAGGCGGGUCUCUGGGCCGUAACUGACGCUGAGGAGCGAAAGCAUGGGGAGCGAACAGG